rnacentral:rRNA from 1 species
CCGACGGUGAGAGGCGAAAGCUGGGGGAGCAAACCGGAUUAGAUACCCGGGUAGUCCCAGCCGUAAACGAUGUGCGUUAGGUGUAUCGGUGACCACGAGUCACCGAGGUGCCGAAGAGAAAUCGUGAAACGUACCGCCUGGGAAGUACGGUCGCAAGGCUGAAACUUAAAGGAAUUGGCGGGGGAGCACCACAACAGGUGGAGCCUGCGGUUUAAUCGGACUCAACGCCGGAAAACUCACCAGAUAA